AGCUUGAAGUUUGAUUCUUGCUUGUAGUUUUUAUAUUAUGAUUGAAAAAUACAUGAAAAUUUUAGUGUUCCUUUAUAUAUGUAUAAAUUAAAAAUUUAAUAUGGAAUAAAUCUCAGUAUUUAAUUUUAAAAAAUUAAUUAAAAUUAGAAUUGGUGAAUCAUUUUAAUUCUGACUAAAUUUUGUGCCAGCAGUCGCGGUUAUACUUAGGGGGUAAAUAAAUAUAAUUUGGUAGUAUAGUAAGUUAUUUGUUAACUAAAAUUUAUUAUUUUUUUGAAAGAGUGAAAUCAGAAUUUAAUAAUAGUAAUGAUUUUAAAAUAAAACAUAAAUAGACUAUAAAUUUUAAUAUAUAAACUAGGAUUAGAUACCCUAUUAUAA
rnacentral:rRNA from 1 species